rnacentral:misc_RNA from 1 species
GAUGAAGAACGUAGCGAAAUGCGAUAAGUAAUGUGAAUUGCAGAAUUCAGUGAAUCAUCGAAUCUUUGAACGCACAUUGCGCCCGCCAGUAUUCUGGCGGGCAUGCCUGUCUGAGCGUCAUUUCAACCCUCAUGCCCCUAGGGCGUGGUGUUGGGGAUCGGCCAAAGCCCGCGAGGGACGGCCGGCCCCUAAAUCUAGUGGCGGACCCGUCGUGGCCUCCUCUGCGAAGUAGUGAUAUUCCGCAUCGGAGAGCGACGAGCCCCUGCCGUUAAAACCCCAACUUUCCAAGGUUGACCUCAGAUCAGGUAGGAAUACCCGCUGAACUUAAGCAUAUCAAUAAGCGGAGGA